GGCUUGCUGGUCUAGUGGCAUGAUUCUCGCUUAGGGUGCGAGAGGUCCCGGGUUCGAUUCCCGGGCAAGCCC
rnacentral:tRNA from 2 species